GGGCCCGUAGCUCAGAGGAUUAGAGCGUGUGGCUACGAACCACGAUGUCGGGGGUUCGAAUCCCUCCGAGCCCA
rnacentral:tRNA from 1 species